UACCCUGCCAACUCCCCCCACCCCCCAUUUCCAGAGAGAAGUGUCCCCUGAGGAAGUGUGUGUGACUGGGCCAUGUUUGCAUAUCUGCCCUGCCUUACUGCUCCAUCUACUUUAAGAGCCCUAGUGUUAACUAAAGGACUUCAGCGCUGUUAGGGCCACUGAGAAGAAAGAUUCAAAGAUGCUUUCACCUGUUUUAAUGCUAGUAGCAAUGGGACUCCUUGCACAAGGGUCCUCAGCUGAUAAAAUUCUGACUCAGUCUCCCUCAUCAAAGUCUGUUCAGUCUGGAGAAACUGUCUCUAUCAGCUGCACAGCCAGUGAGAGUGUUGGCAACGCUCUGAACUGGUACUCCCAGAAACCUGGAGAAGCUCCUAAACUCCUGAUCUAUGAUGCAUCAAAUCGUCAGUCUGGUGUUCCAGGUCGUUUCAGUGGGAGUGGGAGUGGGUCUACUUUUACACAGUACACUCUGACCAUCAGCAGAGUCCAGCCUGAAGAUGCUGCAGAUUAUUACUGUGGUCAGAGCACUUGGGCUCCAUUCACACAGUGUUAG